UUUAGUGAUAACACCAAUGCUGAGCAGCAUGAAAUCUUUCUCGUGCUAUGAAAACUACGGUCUCGAUUUAAACACGUGAAUUUAUUGUAAAUUUAGUUUAAAGUUAAUCCUACAGGAUGGACAAGAAGUAGCGGCUCCAAAGGAUUUCCGUAUUUUUCGAAAAGGAAUACGUAUCAAAUUUCGGAAUCAAGACCCGGCGACGUACCUUCGUGUCUCCGGCUGUCGUUUCAGCGGCUGAAAGAAUGCAAGACUGCUACGCGCAGUAAAGCCUUUGAACUCGGCCAGCGGCAGUCGGCAGCCCAGAAAGAGUUUUCUUUUUCUUCAUGAGGCACGCAGCCGCUGGAACCGGCUUGUCGGGAGAUAGCGACGAUGUCGUCGCAAAACGCCGCGUCUCCCGUGGCUUUCGGAGAGCUCUCAACGAUCUGUGAAAAGCUGAGCUACCCGGUAUAAAUUUGUGCUUGCUCGUAACCAUAUCCGCAGCAGGUCUCCAGGGUCAAAUGCCUCUGACCAUUUUAACAGUACAGGUAGGGGAAGUCGGCAAUGCGGAUCCUUACCUGCGGAACAUAGAUUGGCUUGGUGGUAAGAACCGGUCGUGGUGACGUUCCAAAGCGUGUUUGGCGUGGUGGGUGACUGCUGGUCUGAGGACCUGCGCUUGCACGGCGUCGCAUGCUCUCUAGUUAGGUGCGUGGUCGAGGUGCUUCUUUUAAAACCGCAGUCAGUAGCGAAGUCUGCGCGCCGACGACUUCAGCUAUUUGCGUUUGUCACCCUUGCGACAAGCUUUCUCGCCCGGCAUUGAAGCGCCCAUUUUGCACUAACACUGAGCUGAUCAAUUGAACUCUGUAACUAAAGCAUUGCGCAGGCUGGCGAUCAGUGGCGCAAUGUGAUUUCUACCCAGUGCUCCGGAUACCAAAAUGAAGAAAUUGAACCAAGGUAAACAGUGGAAGUAAGUAUGACUCUCUUGCAGGUUCAAGUUCAUGGUCAUUCUUCCUGUGGAAUUCUCAUCGCCCGAUCCGUUCUGUCGGUACGAUGACCGGCGUCCCGUCAAAGACGGUGAAAUUUUGAAGCUCCACUCAGCUCGCCGCGGUGGCGCAGCGCUCGACAUCAGACCGUCCGCAGCGAUGGGUGCCCUUGCUGAGCCUGCUACACGAGGUCGCGAAGAGUGGAAGCUGUGGCGAGCGUGGAGAUCACUUUCCCCUGGCCCGCCUUUCUUGCCCUU
rnacentral:ncRNA from 1 species